ACCUGCGGAAGGAUCAUUAUCGAGUUUUGAAACGGGGUUGUCGCUGGCCUUCUUUAUUAUUGAUGGGGGCAUGUGCACGCUCCGCUCAAUCCAUCUUCUUACACCUGUGAACCUCUUGGUAAGUCGGUUUCGGGUCGGCCUCGAGAGGGGCUGUGGCUCGGUGCCUUCCGGCCUCAUAUACGAACCAGAGAAUGUGCGUUGUCGUUGCUGCCCUCGCACGACGUGGUGACGAAAUCUUUAUGACGGGAUGUAGCUCCAGGAUCCUGGGGGGGUGGCGUUGUGUCACUGCCUUGCUGAGCAGGUUUAAGCACUUGCUUGGUCUACCUGGGUUGAUAGGAUGGUCCUUCCUAGCCAUGAAGGGGACAGAUUGAACCCUUAGACUUUUGGAUCCCCACGGCGCUGUUAUUGCUGCUGCUAUUGCUGCUGCUUAGCAGGGUAGGCAGAUGCUAGGGCAUUCGCUGUCGACAGGGAUUUGCCCUUAGCUGUAGUCAUGCACGUGUCAUGUGGUGAUGGAAGGCUUCGGCACGCACUGGAGGAAUGUCUUAUAGAAUGCGCUCGCGUUUGUAACGCACCUUAUACAACUUUCAGCAACGGAUCUCUUGGCUCUCGCAUCGAUGAAGAACGCAGCGAAAUGCGAUAAGUAAUGUGAAUUGCAGAUUUCAGUGAAUCAUCGAAUCUUUGAACGCACCUUGCGCUCCUUGGUAUUCCGAGGAGCAUGCCUGUUUGAGUGUCGUGGAAUCGUCAACUUCAUCUCCUUCGUUGGGGCUUGAAGCUUGGACUUUGGAGGCUUCUGCCGGCUCUAGUCAGUCGGCUCCUCUCGAACGCAUUAGCGCGAACCUUUUGCGGAUCGGCCGUCGGUGUGAUAAUCUCGUCUACGCCGCGGUCGUGACGCUCUGUGGGUCGGCUUCCAAUCGUCCCUUUGUGGGACAGCUUUCUGACCAUC
rnacentral:rRNA from 1 species